UACGAAGGGGGCUAGCGUUGCUCGGAAUUACUGGGCGUAAAGGGCGCGUAGGCGGCCCACAUAGUCAGGCGUGAAAUUCCUGGGCUCAACCUGGGGGCUGCGCUUGAUACGUGUGGGCUUGAGGACAGGAGAGGCUCGUGGAAUUCCCAGUGUAGAGGUGAAAUUCGUAGAUAUUGGGAAGAACACCAGUGGCGAAGGCGGCUCACUGGCCCGAUACUGACGCUGAGGCACGAAAGCGUGGGGAGCAAACAGG
rnacentral:rRNA from 1 species